rnacentral:tRNA from 1 species
UCUUAGCUCAGUUGGCAGAGCAUCGGACUUUUAAUCCGCAGGUCGUGGGUUCGAAUCCCACAGAG